rnacentral:tRNA from 1 species
GAGGGUAUAGCUCAGUGGUAGAGUGCGUGCUUAGCGUGCACGAGGUCCUGGGUUCAGUCCCCAGUACCUCUG